CGAAGAGAGCAAAAGGUGAACAGAUUAUCUCUCAUGUAUGUAAUUUUCUCAUUUCAUCAACCCAUCUGCUAAUCUUCAUCUUCGUCAAAUCAAUAAGCUCCCAUUUCCUCUUGUUCUCCGGCUGACCAUGAAAUGCGAAUUCGUAUGGUCGGUCUCGAUGCUAGAAGUAAAACUAGAGUCUUGUACAAGCUCAAGUGCGGAGAGAUCACAGACCACCAUUCCAACAAUUGGUUACUACUCCACAGUUGGUUGAGUCUUUGAAAGACAUAUUUGUGGUACAAGCUGCAAUUCGAAAUUUCUUCGUGGCUGUGUUGCCAAGAGAGGGCAGGAUGUAUACAUUUUCUUGGGGCAACGAUGGCAAACUCGACCACCUAACCGAGCCAACUGAUGUUGAGCCCCAUCCUUUAAUGGGAGCACUUGAGAAUGUACCUGUGGUGAAAAUUGCAGCUGGAUACUGCUAUGCUACGUUCUUGCUAUGGCUUGUCAACCAAAUGGCAUAUGGAAAUCGACAUGCAAAUGUGUUGGCACCAGAACUACCUAGUGACAUCGUUGAAGCAAGUGAAUGAGCAGGUUGUACUGAUCGAUCUCACCAAUUCCAUAUACUGGAACGCCCACACUUCUCACUCACCGAGUUAGGGAUACUGUACGCAUUUGGGGCCGGAGACAAAGGGCAACUAGGCAUUGAACUGGUUGCCAACCAGACCAAAAAGGGAAAACCGAACUGGUCGAUAAUGAUCUCAGAUAGAGUUCAUCAUAUCACCAGCUUUCCCGGCCACAACAUAAUAAUCUAUCCUCUAAUUUAUCAUCAUAACUCAUUGCAUAUGAUGUUUACAUUUCCAUGUCGCAUAGAAACAAAGAAUUGUGAAGUUUCAAGUUUAUUAGCUUAUUAAGGGCUUAAAACAGAUUGCUAAAUAGCUGUUUAUAUCUGAAAAUUUGGCUUGCUCUUGGGCUUCUAGUAGUUGUUGAUAGUUGAUGAUACAUUUGUCAAAGGUUCAUUUCAUGACUUAUUUUAUUUCAAAA